rnacentral:rRNA from 1 species
GGUUUUCGGAUCGUAAAACUCUGUUGUCAGGGAAGAACAAGUGCCGGAGUAACUGCCGGCGCCUUGACGGUACCUGACCAGAAAGCCACGGCUAACUACGUGCCAGCAGCCGCGGUAAUACGUAGGUGGCAAGCGUUGUCCGGAAUUAUUGGGCGUAAAGCGCGCGCAGGCGGUUUCUUAAGUCUGAUGUGAAAGCCCCCGGCUCAACCGGGGAGGGUCAUUGGAAACUGGGAAACUUGAGUGCAGAAGAGGAGAGUGGAAUUCCACGUGUAGCGGUGAAAUGCGUAGAGAUGUGGAGGAACACCAGUGGCGAAGGCGACUCUCUGGUCUGUAACUGACGCUGAGGCGCGAAAGCGUGGGGAGCGAACAGGAUUAGAUACCCUGGUAGUCCACGCCGUAAACGAUGAGUGCUAAGUGUUAGAGGGUUUCCGCCCUUUAGUGCUGCAGCUAACGCAUUAAGCACUCCGCCUGGGGAGUACGGUCGCAAGACUGAAACUCAAAGGAAUUGACGGGGGCCCGCACAAGCGGUGGAGCAUGUGGUUUAAUUCGAAGCAACGCGAAGAACCUUACCAGGUCUUGACAUCCUUUGCCACUUCUAGAGAUAGAAGGUUCCCCUUCGGGGGACAAAGUGACAGGUGGUGCAUGGUUGUCGUCAGCUCGUGUCGUGAGAUGUUGGGUUAAGUCCCGCAACGAGCGCAACCCUUGAUCUUAGUUGCCAGCAUUCAGUUGGGCACUCUAAGGUGACUGCCGGUGACAAACCGGAGGAAGGUGGGGAUGACGUCAAAUCAUCAUGCCCCUUAUGACCUGGGCUACACACGUGCUACAAUGGAUGGUACAAAGGGCUGCGAGACCGCGAGGUUUAGCCAAUCCCAUAAAACCAUUCUCAGUUCGGAUUGCAGGCUGCAACUCGCCUGCAUGAAGCUGGAAUCGCUAGUAAUCGCGGAUCAGCAUGCCGCGUGAAUACGUUCCCGGGCCUUGUACACACC